UGCCUGCUUGUUUGCCACUGAUGCUCUGCAACAACAACAGCAGAGGACUUGUUGUAUUUUCAAGGAUAGUGAAGGUGGAAAGGUGCAAUGUGAGAAGCCCUCCUGUGGCCAAGAGGAUGACAAAUUAGCCCUUAUUCAGCAAGGAGAGACAGGAGUGCUCCGAGGAUCUGGAGAUGCUGUCUACAGCUCAGCAGAUGCUGCAGGACAGCCGUUCCAAGAUCGAGCUGAUCCGAAUGCAGAUUAUCAAAGUCACCCAGACUGGUGUUGGGGAUGGGAGCAGCAACCAUGACAGCACCAAUCAUGGAGGAAGUACCCCAGUGGGUGUAAAUCCCCUGGACAUCCAUGUGUUUGAGUUAAAACACUAUGUCCAGAGAGAGACAGAGGUGGUGAAGGUGGCCAGGGAUGUGGUGAAGCAGCUUGAGGAGCUGCCAUCCCAGGACCAAUUGGCCCUGGCUGAGGUGGGCUAGCUAGAAUGUAUCUAUAAACUAUUUUUAUUGUUUUACAAUUCUAUUUGAGAACAUUCUAAAAAACAACCUACAAAAUUAGUAUAAUUUCAGAGGGACUAAUGAAUAUUUUGUACAAUUAGUUAGUUUGAGAGUGGAAAGAGUCUUGGUUG
rnacentral:lncRNA from 1 species